rnacentral:rRNA from 1 species
GUCUACGGCCAUACCACCCUGAAUGCGCCCGAUCUCGUCUGAUCUCGGAAGCUAAGCAGGGUCGGGCCUGGUUAGUACUUGGAUGGAAAUAUGGUUGGUUCUAGGGC